rnacentral:rRNA from 1 species
UGGGGAAUAUUGGACAAUGGGCGAAAGCCUGAUCCAGCCAUGCCGCGUGUGUGAAGAAGGUCUUCGGAUUGUAAAGCACUUUAAGUUGGGAGGAAGGGCAGUAAGCUAAUACCUUGCUGUUUUGACGUUACCGACAGAAUAAGCACCGGCUAACUCUGUGCCAGCAGCCGCGGUAAUACAGAGGGUGCAAGCGUUAAUCGGAAUUACUGGGCGUAAAGCGCGCGUAGGUGGUUUGUUAAGUUGGAUGUGAAAGCCCCGGGCUCAACCUGGGAACUGCCUCUAAAACUGGCAGGCUAGAGUACGGUAGAGGGUGGUGGAAUUUCCUGUGUAGCGGUGAAAUGCGUAGAUAUAGGAAGGAACACCAGUGGCGAAGGCGACCACCUGGACUGAUACUGACACUGAGGUGCGAAAGCGUGGGGAGCAAACA